rnacentral:rRNA from 1 species
AUACGUAGGGGGCGAGCGUCGUCCGGAAUGAUUGGGCGUAAAGGGCGCGUAGGCGGCGCGGUAAGUCUGGAGUGAAAGUCCUGCUUUCAAGGUGGGAAUUGCUUUGGAUACUGCCGCGCUUGAGUGCAGGAGAGGUUAUCGGAAUUCCCGGUGUAGCGGUGAAAUGCGUAGAGAUCGGGAGGAACACCAGUGGCGAAGGCGGGUAACUGGACUGCAACUGACGCUGAGGCGCGAAAGUGUGGGGAGCAAACAGGAUUAGAUACCCUGGUAGUCCACACUGUAAACGAUGAAUGCUAGGUGUAAGAGGUAUCGACCCCUUUUGUGCCGGAGUCAACACAAUAAGCAUUCCGCCUGGGGAGUACGGCCGCAAGGUUGAAACUCAAAUGAAUUGACGGGG